AGGAACACACCUGUCAUUGAAGCCGACCCAACCAUCCCACAUCUGAAAGUUGAACCACAUCGCCGUCUGUCGGGCUUUCCUGCCUUCUUGGACCGCCCGUUGCCAUUCCCAAUACCACCUAUAAGACCCUCAAACAUCACCCUAGAAAUUUUCUAAGAGAAAUUCUUUGGGAUGAGAAAAUCGUCCACUAACUUGAGGAUCAAAAUUAUUAGUCAUACAUGUCAGACGC
rnacentral:lncRNA from 1 species